UCCACGCCGUAAACGAUGAUAACUAGCUGUCCGGGUUCAUAGAACUUGGGUGGCGCAGCUAACGCAUUAAGUUAUCCGCCUGGGGAGUACGGUCGCAAGAUUAAAACUCAAAGGAAUUGACGGGGGCCUGCACAAGCGGUGGAGCAUGUGGUUUAAUUCGAAGCAACGCGCAGAACCUUACCAGCGUUUGACAUCCUGAUCGCGGAUUAGAGAGAUCUUU
rnacentral:rRNA from 1 species